CAGUCGCCGCGGUAAUACGAAGGGGGCUAGCGUUGCUCGGAAUCACUGGGCGUAAAGGGUGCGUAGGCGGGUCUUUAAGUCAGGGGUGAAAUCCUGGAGCUCAACUCCAGAACUGCCUUUGAUACUGAAGAUCUUGAGUUCGGGAGAGGUGAGUGGAACUGCGAGUGUAGAGGUGAAAUUCGUAGAUAUUCGCAAGAACACCAGUGGCGAAGGCGGCUCACUGGCCCGAUACUGACGCUGAGGCACGAAAGCGUGGGGAGCAAACAGGAUUAGAUACCCCGGUAGUCCCUGUCUCUUAUAC
rnacentral:rRNA from 1 species